rnacentral:lncRNA from 1 species
AUAUUCUACAUAGGAUUUAGAUUUAAUGAUAAAUAAUAGUGGUAGAUUUAAUAUUUAUAUAUUUAUUUAUAAAAUUAGAGUUAAUAAAGUAAAAGACAUAUUAAAGAAUAUGAAAAUAGUUAAGAGUGUGUGAUUUGAUGGCAAUAAAAAAAUUUAGAGGACAAGCGAGUAGCUUGGUUAACUAAUUUAUUUAAUAAAAUUAUGAG